GACAGAGGGGGCAAGCGUUGCUCGGAAUCACUGGGCGUAAAGGGCGCGUAGGCGGGAUGGCAAGUCAGUCGUGAAAUCUCUCAGCUCAACCGAGAAACGUCGGCUGAUACUGCCGUUCUUGAGGGAUGCAGAGGAGACUGGAAUUCCCGGUGUAGCGGUGAAAUGUGUAGAGAUCGGGAGGAACACCGGUGGCGAAGGCGGGUCUCUGGGCAUCUCCUGACGCUGAGGCGCGAAAGCGUGGGGAGCAAACGGG
rnacentral:rRNA from 1 species